rnacentral:rRNA from 1 species
AGUCUGCGACUCGACUACAUGAAGCUGGAAUCGCUGUAAUCGCGAAUCAGAAUGUCGCGGUGAAUACGUUCCCGGGUCUUGUACACACCGCCCGUCACACCAUGGGAGUUGGGAAUGCCCGAAGCCGGUGACCUAACCGAAAGGGAGGAGCCGUCGAAGGCAGGCUUGAUAACUGGGGUGAAGUCGUAACAAGGUAUC